UCUUAGGGGUGAGCAAAGAAAGUGGUUUCAUGACAUGGAAUCUACUCCUGGUGAAGCUGCUGUGAA
rnacentral:pre_miRNA from 1 species